AGGAUAUUAGUUUAAUAAAAUCAAUUGUUUUCAAAACAGUAGUUAUAUAGUGUGGUUAUAUAUGUCCUG
rnacentral:tRNA from 1 species